CAGUAGCCGCGGGAAAACGAAGGGGGCUAGCGUUGUUCGGAAUUACUGGGCGUAAAGCGCACGUAGGCUGACAUUUAAGUCAGGGGUGAAAUCCCGGGGCUCAACCUCGGAACUGCCUUUGAUACUGGGUGUCUUGAGUGUGGAAGAGGUAAGUGGAAUUGCGAGUGUAGAGGUGAAAUUCGUAGAUAUUCGCAGGAACACCAGUGGCGAAGGCGGCUUACUGGUCCACAACUGACGCUGAGGUGCGAAAGCGUGGGGAGCAAACAGGAUUAGAUACCGCGUAGUCCCUGUCUCUUAUACA
rnacentral:rRNA from 1 species